rnacentral:lncRNA from 1 species
AAACUUUUUUUUUAUUUUUGUUUAAACAAAAAAUUAGAAAAACUUUAAAAAUCACUCUCGUGCUUUCGUAUUUUUUUACUUUAAUAUUCUCUACUUUGAGAUAUAUUAAUUUAAUAUUUUAUAAUUUCGCACUUUUUAUUUUAAUAUUUUGUGAUUUAAAGUGCAUAAAUUUAGUACUCUAUGGUUUCAUUUUUCUCCUUUCGUCGGCUCCUUUAUUAAUAUUUCGUUAAAUUAUAUACAAAAAAACUUUAGAUACCUUAUUUAAGGUUAUCAUAUUUACUUUAGUACUCUUUAGUUUUAACUUUGUCACUCAUUUUUUUUCUCUGUUAAUAUUUCGUUAAAUUAUAUACCAAAAACUUCAGAUACCCUACCUAGGUUUAUCAAAUGUUCACUUUAGUACACUUUACGUUUUAACUUUAUGACUGAUUUAACGAAAAAAAUUAGUAAAAUGAAUAAUAAAAAGAAAAAAAUAAAACCACGACAUACUAACUUGAUACACUUUAAAUCACAGAAUCCUAAAGUGAGAAAGUGCGAAACCACAGGCGCUAACUUAAUACACUUUAAGCCAAAGGAUACUAAACUGAAAAACUGCAAAAUCAUGUGGGAGUAUUUGAAGUUUAUCCUGUUUAAAAAAUUUCUGCAAGGGGAAAACUGGGUUUUUUUUUUUAAUUUAAAAAUCCGGUAAAGACAAAACCGGCUGGAAAGUUAGAGAAGUCAAAUCGAAACGGCUGUACAUCGAGAAAACACUAUCCUUAUUGGUACAACAAAAUUGUGAAGUAUUGUUCUUAAUUAACACUGCAUUGGAUGGAACAGGAUAUUUAUUAAAAUUUUAUUGAGAUUUUAAAUUUACUAUAAAAUAUAAUAUUUUUUUCAUAAUAAAAUUUUAAAUUAUAAAGUAUAUUUCGGUAUUUAAUAAUAUAUUAUACUAUUUAUUUUUAUCAAAUGAAUCAAUAUAUUCUGAAUCAUACAAUAAAAUUAUAAAUAUUAUAAUAAAUUUUCUGAAUACU